rnacentral:rRNA from 1 species
CUACGGGAGGCUCCAGUGAGGAAUAUUGCACAAUGGGGGGAACCCUGAUGCAGCAACGCCGCGUGGAGGAUGACGCAUUUUGGUGUGUAAACUCCUUUUAUAUGUCAAGAAAAUGACGGUAGCAUAUGAAUAAGCACCGGCUAACUCCGUGCCAGCAGCCGCGGUAAUACGGAGGGUGCAAGCGUUACUCGGAAUCACUGGGCGUAAAGGACGCGUAGGCGGGUUGGAAAGUCAGGUGUGAAAUCCUACAGCUUAACUGUAGAACUGCACUUGAAACUUCUAAUCUAGAGUAUGGGAGGGGGAGAUGGAAUUAGUGGUGUAGGGGUAAGAUCCGUAGAUAUCACUAGGAAUACCUAAAGCGAAGGCGAUCUCCUGGAACAUUACUGACGCUAAGGCGUGAAAGCGUGGGGAGCAAACAGGAUUAGAUACCCCAGUAGUC